ensembl:lncRNA
GAGCUGUCCUGUCAGAGACACUCCUGACACCUUACACUAUCACAUCUGAAAUAUACAACCUUAAAAUUUCAGGACAAGCGAUCAUGAGAGCGUUUAGCAGAAAUCUGCUCAUCACCGUCUGUCUUCAUCUCUUAGGUGAAGGCAUUGGACAGCAUAAAGCAUGUCAACAGUCAACAUGUUUGUGCGAUGAACCUAUAGGUAGAAAUACAGCAGAGAACCUGCACAGUGUAUUCUGCAUUUCACAAUUAUCACUUUUUCUCGCAAUUCUGAGAUGUAAACAGAAUUCUGAAAAAAAAAAGAAUUGCAAGAUAUAAACUUAGAAUUGCAUGAGAAAAAAGUCAGAAUUGCGAGAUAUAAAUUCUGACUUUUUUCCUUUAAAUUCUUAGUUUACAUCUCACACAUUUCUGUUUUUUUGUUUCCACCAAGGGAUAAAAAUGAAAAAGGUAAUUUACUUUUUUUUAAUUGACAAUGCUGUCUUUUUCUCGCAAUUCUAAUUUUUUUACCACAUAAUCCUGACUUUUUUCUUAUAAUUCUGACUUUAUAGCUCACAAGUCUCAAUUGUGAGAUAAAAAGUUGCAAUUACCUUUUGUAUGUUUUUAUCCUGUAACAGAAACAAGAUUCCAUACUAAUCGGAGAUUUCUGAAAAUAUAAAAAUACAAAAUUAAUUAUCAGAAAAAUAAUUCAGUUAAUGAGAAUGCAUUAAAUCUGUUCCCAUUCUCCUUUCCCCAGAUGUUCUGCAAAACUGCACAAUAAAAGGUACACCUACUGUGCAUUAAUGACUGAAACACUGAUCAAAUCAGUGCUGUUAGAGAUAAACCCUAAUGAAGAAAAUUACUUCAUCUGUCAGAUAUCAUUUGUAAAAGGAUGAAAUAUAUGAUGACCUUUGAUCUUUUGCUCUCCUUUCCAGAUUUGAAUGUGACCAUGUGCCCCUCUUCCACCUCAGUUGAAAAGGAUACGUCGGUGACUGUGACCUGCAUUCAUAAUGUUCCCAACAGCUCCAUCAGCUGGCUAGUGGACGAUGUGUUACAGCAAAAGGAAAAUAAUACAAAAACACUUCAUAUCAAGUACAUUAAAAAAACCUCAGUCAUCAGCUGCAACGUCAGUAGUAUAUGUGGGAACUUCAACUCUACUAUUACAAUUAACGUAAAAGAUGGUGAUAUUAUAAUGGUUUUACUGAUUUGUGUUGGAGCAGCAGUUGCUCUCCUCAUGCUGUUUGCAAUAGUCAUGAACAUCAGUCUCAAGAGAGGACAAGCUAAGAGUCAGGCCAGGAAGAGACAAAGACAACAGAACCUGCAGAACAUCCAAAGCACUGUGAACACCGUCAGCAGCUACCACUGAAAGAGAGCAUUUCUACCACUGAAGCUCCUGAUUCAGAGCUGUUACAGUUCUACACUCAAAAAACAUUUAGACCUAAAUUUUAAGAUUUAUGUUUUUGACUUGCAUUUAAAAUUUCCAUCCAUUUGGAUUACAGUAAAUAUUCAAAAUAAUUAAAAUAAGUUUUGUUUACUUUUUUUUUUUUUUUUUUUUUACUUGCUUUAGUUAUUUCUGUUUGAUAAAUGAUUUGGUGUGAAGUUGACUCACUGAAUAGAGGGCUAUGGAAUGGAAUGGCUUGGUUUUUUCAAGUUUAACUUGUUAAGUCAUCCUAAAAACACAUGCAGAAAUGAACAAUGUGAUAUAUAGCAGUGCUCCACAGUGAUCAGUGAAAAUAGCAAAUGAAGGAAGAUUCAUUUUAGCACCGUUUUGGGUGCAAACUGUUGCAAUUGUUGGGUGCAAUUUUUAUUAACUAAUGUUAAUAAAGAGUUAACAAAAAGUAAUAAAUACUGUAAC